GUGUUUGCUUCUGCAGCACAUAUACUAAAAUUGGAACCCUGCAGAGAAGAUUAGCAUGGUCUCUGCCCAAGGUAGACAUGCAAAUUGGUGAAGCAUUCCAUGUUUUG
rnacentral:snRNA from 1 species